CAGCCGCCGCGGUAAUACGUAGGUGGCAAGCGUUGUCCGGAAUUAUUGGGCGUAAAGGGCUCGCAGGCGGUUUCUUAAGUCUGAUGUGAAAGCCCCCGGCUCAACCGGGGAGGGUCAUUGGAAACUGGGAAACUUGAGUGCAGAAGAGGAGAGUGGAAUUCCACGCGUAGCGGUGAAAUGCGUAGAGAUGUGGAGGAACACCAGUGGCGAAGGCGACUCUCUGGUCUGUAACUGACGCUGAGGAGCGAAAGCGUGGGGAGCGAACAGGAUUAGAUACCCCCGUAGUCCCUGUCUCUUAUAA
rnacentral:rRNA from 1 species